rnacentral:rRNA from 1 species
UGGGGAAUUUUGGACAAUGGGCGAAAGCCUGAUCCAGCAAUGCCGCGUGUGUGAAGAAGGCCUUCGGGUUGUAAAGCACUUUUGUCCGGAAAGAAAUCCUUGGCUCUAAUACAGUCGGGGGAUGACGGUACCGGAAGAAUAAGCACCGGCUAACUACGUGCCAGCAGCCGCGGUAAUACGUAGGGUGCAAGCGUUAAUCGGAAUUACUGGGCGUAAAGCGUGCGCAGGCGGUUUGCUAAGACCGAUGUGAAAUCCCCGGGCUCAACCUGGGAACUGCAUUGGUGACUGGCAGGCUAGAGUAUGGCAGAGGGGGGUAGAAUUCCACGUGUAGCAGUGAAAUGCGUAGAGAUGUGGAGGAAUACCGAUGGCGAAGGCAGCCCCCUGGGCCAAUACUGACGCUCAUGCACGAAAGCGUGGGGAGCAAACAGGAUUAGAUACCCUGGUAGUCCACGCCUAAACGAUGUCAACUAGUUGUUGGGGAUCAUUUCCUUAGUAACGUAGCUAACGCGUGAAGUUGACCGCCUGGGGAGUACGGUCGCAAGAUUAAAACUUAAAGGAAUUGACGGGGU